GGUGGAGCGAUUUGUCUGGUUUAUUCCGAUAACGAGCGAGACUCUAGCCUGCUAAAUAGUGCUCAGACUUUCAAGUCUGAGUUACUUCUUAGAGGGAUUAGCGGUGUUUAGCCGCACGAGAUUGAGCGAUAACAGGUCUGUGAUGCCCUUAGAUGUCCGGGGCUGCACGCGCGCUACACUGGAAGAAUCAGCGUGUUCUUCCAUUGCCGAAAGGUAUUGGUAAACCGUUGAAACUCUUCCGUGUCCGGGAUAGGGAAUUGCAAUUAUUUCCCUUGAACGAGGAAUUCCUAGUAAGUGUGAGUCAUCAGCUCACGUUGAAUACGUCCCUGCCCUUUGUAC
rnacentral:rRNA from 1 species